UACGUAGGUGGCAAGCGUUGUCCGGAAUUAUUGGGCGUAAAGCGCGCGCAGGCGGCUAUGUAAGUCUGGUGUUAAAGCCCGGGGCUCAACCCCGGUUCGCAUCGGAAACUGCGUAGCUUGAGUGCAGAAGAGGAAAGCGGUAUUCCACGUGUAGCGGUGAAAUGCGUAGAGAUGUGGAGGAACACCAGUGGCGAAGGCGGCUUUCUGGUCUGUAACUGACGCUGAGGCGCGAAAGCGUGGGGAGCAAACAGGAUUAGAUACCCUGGUAGUCCACGCCGUAAACGAUGAGUGCUAGGUGUUGGGGGUUUCAAUACCCUCAGUGCCGCAGCUAACGCAAUAAGCACUCCGCCUGGGGAGUACGCUCGCAAGAGUGAA
rnacentral:rRNA from 1 species